CAGGGCUGGAGAGCCAGCCUGAAGGCCCUGGGACCCUUCUAUCCACAUAGCAGGAGAAAAGUCAGCUAUGCCAAGAAAAGGCUGGUUGGGUAUCCGAGAUCACAUGCCAAGUUUUGCAGGCUGUACAAGAAGCAUGAAGCCAGUAUCCUUCACUCAUGGCAGAAGGAGAAAGGGAGCCAGCAUUUCACAUGGCAAGAGAAGAGGACAGAGAAGGGGAGAGGAAGGAAGCACCAGAAAAUUUACAGCUUAAAACAAGAAAACGUAUUAUCUCACAUGAUCUGUAGAUCAGGAAUCUGGUCACAGCUUAGAUGGGUCCUCUGUUUAGGAUCUCACAAGGCUUCAGUCAAGGUGUCAUCCAAGUUAGGUUUUCAUCUGAAGGCUCAUCUGUGAAAGAAUCUGCUUCCAAGUUCA
ensembl:lncRNA novel transcript